UCGCGCAUAUUGAAGUUGUUGUUGCUGACUGGUUACCCGCAUGCCAGAACCGAGUGGCGCAUCGGAAUCACACAUGCUGUGUGCAUUUUUCUCCGCUUGCCUUUGAAGGAAAAAAGGGGAAGGGCGUGCUUGGACGAGCCACCAAGAUUAGCGAAUAAAGAAAAAAGGGGCAAAGUUAUCAAGAUCUUAUGUCGGGCAGCGCGUACCGCGACUCCGCGGGUGACGGGUUACAGGAAGAAGAGGAGGAAGAGCUAGGACUUCCAUCAUCUCGAACAUCCGCCGCGGAGGAGUGCAGCCGCAGCGGGAGUGCCGUCGACGGCGGCAAGAACGUACUCUCUAGAACUCCGGAUGACAGUGCAAUGCGAAGUUUUCGCGCGGCAGACGCCGACGAUGAGUUUGCACUAGACAUUCCGUUCGUGACGUCAAAAGGCAGCGCAUCAGCCACUGGGCUUGGAGCAUUCGCACAUACAAGCUUCACCAUCUCAUCAAAUGUCGACAUCGGACGGCAUCAGCGAAGGACGGCUGCGUCAACUGCCGCAGCCCAAUCUUCAGUGUCUGGCAAGGAGCAGGGGGAAAGACAGUUGUCGAUUGCUGGCAACUGGGAGAAAGCAGAAAAUGUGUCACUGAACAAGUACCAGGGGUCCGACAUACUGGAUGAUUCUGACUCCCCACAGGAUGAGGUAGAGUUCCAAGCUUGGAAAGCGCGAGACGCGUUUCGGCGGCAACAGCUGCUACUAUGAAACUCAUGUGCCUGCAAGUACACUGUUUCGUUGUACAGGUCGUCGGUGGCUAACAGUGAGCCUGCUGGGAUGUAAGGGUGUGGAUGUGGAAAGGUAGAUGACGCGUACGAUGGAUAUGACCCUAGGCUUUCGAUUUGUGGUGUGCGACACUCCGCGAGCGGCGACCUGAUGCAGCGCACUGGUGGCUCUCUGGAAUGGCCCUCGUUGCCCUGAACUCGACAUAGUGGCCGAUGCCGAUGAGCUCUGUUUGCUGUUCCACACAAGGGGGAAGAGGAAAGCCGCAACUUUUCUUUUUCGUCCAUGCCUGCGGCUUGAUUGCUACUCUCGUCUUGGCUUACAAAGCAGAGAACACAGGCGCGCGUGGCAACCUCUGAUGUCAACGCUGCCGAUGAGGCAGCUGUGAUGGGCUCCCCGAUCCCUCUUAUUCUUCCCCUAGCUGUUCUUUUGUUUCGCCCUUGGGGCGGUUGCCGCCCCACAAAUU
rnacentral:misc_RNA from 1 species